rnacentral:rRNA from 1 species
AACGAACGCUGGCGGCGUGCUUAAGACAUGCAAGUCGUGCGAGAAAGCCACCUUCGGGUGGCGAGUACAGCGGCGCACGGGUGAGUAACGCGUGGGUAAUCUACCCAAGGGUCUGGGAUAACUCCGGGAAACUGGGGCUAAUACCGGAUAAGACCACGACGUCCUCGGACGACGCGGAAAAAGGUGGCCUCUCCUUGGAAGCUACCGCCCUCGGAUGAGCCCGCGUCCCAUUAGCUUGUUGGUGGGGUAACGGCCCACCAAGGCUCCGAUGGGUAGCUGGUCUGAGAGGAUGAUCAGCCACACUGGAACUGAGACACGGUCCAGACUCCUACGGGAGGCAGCAGUCGGGAAUUUUGGGCAAUGGGCGAAAGCCUGACCCAGCAACGCCGUGUGAGGGAUGAAGGCCUUCGGGUCGUAAACCUCUGUCGGAAGGGAAGAAUUGCCUCCGUUCGAACAGGGCGGGGGCUUGACGGUACCUUCAAAGGAAGCACCGGCUAACUCCGUG